UCGAGUCUCCGCCCCACAAGCCAAAAUCUCCGCCACGGGAGCCGCCGACCAUGCGUCUGCUUUCGAUUUCGGGCGCCCGCCCCCGCCGUGCGGGGCUGCAAUACACGGCGGGCUCCCGCCUCCAAGGGGAACGGGGACCGGGCGGUUUCCCGGGAAGCCAGGGGCAGCGGAGCACGCGGAGCACGCGAGGGUGGAACGAGGGGCGUCCGAGAGCCUGUCCCCGACUGCGGCGCCCGCGCCACGUUGAGGGCGCUCCUAACUUGGUUUCGCGUGCACGUUUCGGUUAACGUGCAAGAACAGCAGAGGCCCGCGGGCAGCCGGAGGGAGGCGGGUGCGGGGGCCUGAAGGGUCGCGAGAGGUGCCCCCACCCCCACCCCCGCCCCUGGGGUCCGCGGGGAGCCCCGCACGGGGGAAGGCCCGGUGCCUGCCCGCCCCGCGGCGGAAGCGGGCCGAAGCCUCCCCCCACCUCGCAGGAGAGGGGCGCUGGGCGGGGUCGCUGAAUGUGUAUGUGACUCAGAGCUUUUUACUUUUUUUUUUUUCAAUUUUUAUUCAUUUAUGAUAGUCACAGAGAGAGAGAGACAGAGAGAGACAGGCAGAGGGAGAAGCAGGCUCCAUGCAGGGAGCCCGACGUGGGAUUCGAUCCCGGGUCUCCAGGAUCGCGCCCUGGGCCAAAGGCAGGCGCCAAACCGCUGCACCACCCAGGGAUCCCCAGAGCUUUUUACUUGUAUUCGGAGUUCUACAAUUCCAUUCGGAGUUCUACAAUUCCAUUCGAAUGUUCUUUGAGUAUACAAGCCGCGCAGCCUGCCCCUGCCGGGCGCCUGGGAAACAGCCAGGAUGGCCCUUGCCAUCCCCCCCGCCCCCGACCGCUUAAAUCCCGGAAGUUAAAAGCUUCUUUGCUUGGAGAUCUCAGCCCUCCUUUGCAGGAAAAACGAAAACAAGCAACCAACCAACGAAACAAAAGCAAACCUCCAAUUUUGUAAGCUCAUUACUCCUUCCCAAAGCUUUCUGAAAUAUCAACUCUAAGAACUCUUCAACUUUUCCUGCUUCUAACACACCAAGAAAAGACUCAUGUUUUACUCCAUACUACUCCCUCAACAGCUAAUGUAAAAUCAGAUAUGUUGUUCGGAGGAAGUCUGUUAAACAAUGUUUUGUUUUGUUUCUGACAAAAGGAUUUUCAGUUUAUCUAGAUUUCUUGGUAUUUUACAGCUUACAGGAGCUUAUUGACAUAUGAACUCAUUGUCUCACUUGCUUAUUGGAGAAACUAUAUAUUAAUUCUGGGAAUUUAAAAAUAAUUUAUUAAGAAACUAUUUGGCAUUAACCAGUACAACAAUGAAAUCAAGAAAGAAUAACUGUUUUACCCAUAAUAUUGAUAAGAACAUUGAGGCUUACAGAGGUAAGAUCCUUUUUCAAGCUCUCAUAGGCAGCGAUUUGAACUGAACGUUUGAACUCUGACAGCCUGACCCUAGAAUGCAUGUUGUGACAGCCCUAGAUGGCACUGGGUUCUUCUUACCCGCACCCUCCAGGGGUGCCCUCCCAGUCAGCACUUGCUGGUAACUCUCUCCUGCCUGCUCUUCCUCUUGACAGGAUGUGCCUUCUCUUUACUUGAGAGAGCACCACAUUCUUUAUCUCUUCUCUCAAGAUCACUUCUCCACCCAACCUGCCUCCAAAGCCAAAGAUUUACUAAAUGUGUCCUCAACAAGGUCACAGAUCACCUUCAUUUUGUCUGUUUUUCAGAAUACUCUCCAUAUAAGUUCAACUCCCAAUAUGCUGCUAUAACCUCAUUUCCUGCUCAUUUUCUCCAGAGCACUUCCCACCACCUAACAUGCACAUAUUUCUGGUUUCCUAGUUCUUCAUGAGGCAGAGGUUUGUAUUCAUUUUUUUUGAAUCCUGGGUACUGAGCAUCUAGAACAAUGCCCAGCACAUAGCAAGUACUCAGCGUGUAUUCGUUGAUGUAAUACAUAAUGACAAACUUAAUGAUAUAUCUGGUCCUUCAAUGUGAAUUGUCUGAAUAUAUUUAAUAUUGUUGAUCACUGCCUCCUUCUUGACACCCACUCAUCCUAGGCUUCUGAGGCAUGUUCUCCUGGAACUCCUAGAACCUUCUCUGACUACUCCUUCUCAUUUUCCCUCAUGUCUUUUUCUGUUUGUAAUAAUACUGAAAAUAUUAGUGUCCUCAGGGCUCCAUCAUCAAUCCUUUGCUUUUCUCAUUCUAAUUCUGUGCAUCCUCUGAGCAAAAUUAUAAGGACAUUCCUAUAGUUUCCAUGCAUAAACUACAGUCUUACAGAUAUACAAUGAAUGUGUAUCUAACUUUCCAGGCAGAACUUUUUCCUGAGCUGCACAUCAGGUCAAGGUAGCAAUGUUUACUUGUUAUCCUGUAUGUACUGAGAAUUAGCUUCUUACUGAGAUGAGAACUUACUAUCAGAACAUACAAAUGAGCAUGAUAAACUGUAAAUUAUUUUCUAGCAGGAGAUACCUGUAUUCGGGGCUAUACAAUUCCAUUUGAAUGUUCUUUGAAUAUACAAGUAAUUAAACACAUCCAGAAAAAAAUUCAA